rnacentral:rRNA from 1 species
UACGUAGGGGGCAAGUGUUGUCCGGAUUUAUUGGGCGUAAAGAGCUCGUAGGCGGUUUGGUAAGUCUGGUGUGAAAUCUCCACGCUCAACGUGGAGGGGCCACCCGAUACUGCCAUGACUGGAGUCCGGUAGAGGAGUGUGGAAUUCCCGGUGUAGCGGUGAAAUGCGCAGAUAUCGGGAGGAACACCCGUAGCGAAGACGGCACUCUGGGCCGGAACUGACGCUGAGGAGCGAAAGCGGUGGGAGCAAACAGG